GAUGAACGCUAGCGGCAGGCUUAACACAUGCAAGUCGAGGGGCAGCGUGAUGAAGUAGCAAUACGGAUUUGACGGCGACCGGCGCACGGGUGCGUAACGCGUAUGCAACCUACCCAUAACAGGGGGAUAACACUGAGAAAUUGGUACUAAUACCCCAUAAUACUUUAGGAGGCAUCUUUUAGAGUUGAAAGUUCAGGCGGUUAUGGAUGGGCAUGCGUUGUAUUAGCUAGAUGGUGAGGUAACGGCUCACCAUGGUAACGAUACAUAGGGGGACUGAGAGGUUAACCCCCCACACUGGUACUGAGACACGGACCAGACUCCUACGGGAGGCAGCAGUGAGGAAUAUUGGUCAAUGGACGCAAGUCUGAACCAGCCAUGCCGCGUGCAGGACGACGGCUCUAUGAGUUGUAAACUGCUUUUGUACAAGGGUAAACCCUGGGACGUGUCCCAGGCUGAAAGUACUGUACGAAUAAGGAUCGGCUAACUCCGUGCCAGCCGCCGCGGUAAGAC
rnacentral:rRNA from 1 species